rnacentral:rRNA from 1 species
GAUCCUGGCUCAGGAUGAACGCUAGCUACAGGCUUAACACAUGCAAGUCGUGGGGCAGCAUGGGAGAUGCUUGCAUUUCCCGAUGGCGACCGGCGCACGGGUGAGUAACGCGUAUCCAACCUGCCCUUCACUCCGGCACAGCCCGUCGAAAGACGGAUUAAUGCGGGAUGCAGUCAGAAAGAUGCAUAUUAAUUUGACGAAAGGCCUUCGGGCCGGGUGAGGGAUGGGGAGUG